CUCAUGUCUCACAACUUUAUUUGUUUUUCUUGAAUAAGUGCUAAUGUUCUUUGAGGGGUCCAAGCACCAUAUAUAUAUUGAAAGAAAGAACUAGUUAAAAUUGAAGCACCAUGAGUUUCUCUAUGGCUUGGUUUACCAACACUCACCAUCUGCUGGUGCGGCAAGUCAUGAACUAGCUGGCUAGUUUUUUGCUUCCUUGGUUUUAGAAGCUAUCCAUGUGUUCAAAGAAUAGUCAACAAAAUGUAACUAUCUGUUUCCCAAUAUGUGCAAGUGCUGCAAAAUAGUAAAUCUUGUAUUUAAAUGAAAGAAAAAGAGAUGGGCAAAAGACUGC
rnacentral:lncRNA from 1 species